rnacentral:snoRNA from 1 species
GGAAUAACACACAGAAAACUUGGAAAACUGAACAAAAUGCGUGAACACUCUACAUUGUCAUAUUCAUCAAACUGAGGUCC